GAAACUCGCCUAUAUGAAGUCGGAAUUGCUAGUAAUCGCGGAUCAGCAUGCCGCGGUGAAUACGUUCCCGGGCCUUGUACACACCGCCCGUCACACCAUGAGAGUCGAUAACAUCCGAAGCCUGUAGUCUAACAGCAAUGAGGACGCAGUCGAAGGUGGGAUUGAUAAUUAGGGUGAAGUCGUAACAAGGUAAC
rnacentral:rRNA from 1 species